rnacentral:misc_RNA from 1 species
UACGGAGGGUGCAAGCGUUGUUCGGAAUCAUUGGGCGUAAAGCGCGUGUAGGCGGCCAGGAAAGUCGGGCGUGAAAUCCCGGGGCUCAACCCCGGAACUGCUCUCGAAACUGCCUGGCUAGAGUCCCGGAGAGGAAGGCGGGAUUCCCGGUGUAGAGGUGAAAUUCGUAGAUAUCGGGAGGAACACCAGUGGCGAAGGCGGCCUUCUGGACGGUGACUGACGCUGAGACGCGAAAGCGUGGGGAGCAAACAGG